rnacentral:lncRNA from 1 species
UAUUUUAUUAAUUAAAAUAAUAUUUUUGUUAUAUUAUUUAAAUAAAAUAAAUAGAAUAAAAAGAAAAUAGAAGUUUAGAGAUAUUGAGGGUAAGGUGGGGAUUAGAGAGAAAAUUAAGGGCAUAGUAGAAACAUCAUAAUUAAGAGAUUAAGUUUUUAGUGUAAAAAUAGAAUUAGAAGGGGGAGUUGAGCAGUAUGUAGAGAAAGACAAAGAGAAGACAUAGGAAGAUCACUCAUUGAUAGAGCUUGCAAAAUUUUUACAAGAGAAGUCUAAGGUUGGGGGAUAACUUUUAAUAAAAAGGACUUAUGUAUAAGGGGUAGGAUAGAGAAGUUU